GCAGUCACUAAGUGAUAUUAAAUUUUUCUUAACACUUUAUUCGCUUGAAGGGGUAUCAAGAUGAAACCUAGAGUCUAUUGAUCCAAAUUUGAGGACAAUCUUUAAUUAUAUCAACUUUAAAAACAUAAAGCCUGAGUUAUUUGGUAAUUAUACUUAACUUCUUUCGAUAAAAAAGAUUUAAAAAAAUGAUGAGCUCAGAAUAUUUAAUUACAUUGGCUCGUCAAUUAAUAAAAAUAUCAUAUAGUAAAGUGGAUAAACUGGCUAGAAAAUAAAUUUUCUUUUAUUUUGACUAACUUUACAGUUUGAAUUUAGUUAGUUCAAGUAGCUUAAACUGAACUUAUUUCUUCUUUUUUUUUUCUUUUUUUUUUGUAGUUGUAUUUUCAUCGUUCGCUAAACAUAUCAGAAAAGAACAUCAUCAUAGUUCCACCGAACAGUACUUAAAAUGCCAAACAUUCUAAGUCUAUAUGCAAAUUUCUUUAUAUUUAAUCUAAGAGCUUCCGUUGCUUUAAUUACUGCGUAUCCAUUUGUUAUCAGAUUCAUCCAACGACGACGACGUAGGAAAGACAGUUGCAAUAAUCGUAGGAGUAUUAGCUGGUGUUGCUGUUUUCAUCGUUCUUCUCUCCUUUUGUCGCAAGGCUGUUGGUAAUAUAUAUUUUCUUCAUGCUCUGCCCAUAUUACAUUUCUAUUAGUGAAUUUAUGAGAAUACGGUAUAAGAGAAAUAGUGGAUUCAAUUAUGAAUUCCCGAGUUCGACAUAAUGCAUAGAUAAAUUAAGUUAAAAGUAUAUUUUAGAACUUACUGAUCUCUUAAAAUUCAUAUAUGUUGUUUAAAAAAUUUCGUCAGCCUUUAUUAGAAUGCUUUUAUUUUGUAAGUUGUAACUUUCUAAAUCCUUUGUAGGGUAAAAGGAGAGAAGGAAGUUGAUGCAUGGUUCAAGGAGGUAGAAGGUGGACUUCUAUAGGUUCAAUAUUUGUUAAGAGAGUAAUUAUGAGUUCCACUUUCUCUGUUAAGAAAUUAUGAAAUUUUAUGCAUAAGAAUUAUGAACUUCUAUUUGUUUAUUAGGAGUUAUCAUGAUGAGUUCCACCCACUUUUGUUAUUUUUAUGUUAAAUACAAACAUUUGAUAUAUCCAAAAAGUUGAUUUCUAAUCUUUU
rnacentral:lncRNA from 1 species